rnacentral:rRNA from 1 species
UACGAAGGGGGCUAGCGUUGUUCGGAGUUACUGGGCGUAAAGGGCGCGCGAUGAGCGGCGCACCAAGUCAGGCGUGAAAGCCCUGGGCUCAACCCGGGAUUGCGCUUGAGACUGGUGUGCUUGAGUACGGGAGAGGAUAGUGGAAUUCCCAGUGUAGAGGUGAAAUUCGUAGAUAUUGGGAAGAACACCGGGUGGCGAAGGCGGCUAUCUGGACCGUAACUGACGCUGAGGCGCGAAAGCGUGGGGAGCAAACAGGG